rnacentral:rRNA from 1 species
AGAGUUUGAUCCUGGCUCAGGACGAACGCUGGCGGCGUGCUUAACACAUGCAAGUCGAACGAAGCUUGAUUACGGAUUCUUCGGAUGAAGUAUGAUAUGACUGAGUGGCGGACGGGUGAGUAACGCGUGAGUAACCUGCCCUUCAGAGGGGGAUAGCGUUUGGAAACGAACGGUAAUACCGCAUAAUGUAUUUUGACCGCAUGAUCGAAAUACCAAAGAUUUAUCGCUGAAGGAUGGACUCGCGUCUGAUUAGGUAGUUGGUGGGGUAACGGCCUACCAAGCCGACGAUCAGUAGCCGGACUGAGAGGUUGAUCGGCCACAUUGGGACUGAGACACGGCCCAGACUCCUACGGGAGGCAGCAGUGGGGAAUAUUGCACAAUGGGCGCAAGCCUGAUGCAGCAACGCCGCGUGAAGGAAGACGGUUUUCGGAUUGUAAACUUCUGUUCUUAGUGAAGAAUAAUGACGGUAGCUAAGGAGCAAGCCACGGCUAACUACGUGCCAGCAGCCGCGGUAAUACGUAGGUGGCAAGCGUUGUCCGGAAUUACUGGGUGUAAAGGGAGCGCAGGCGGGUGAUCAAGUCAGCUGUGAAAACUACGGGCUUAACCCGUAGACUGCAGUUGAAACUGUUCAUCUUGAGUGAAGUAGAGGUUGGCGGAAUUCCGAGUGUAGCGGUGAAAUGCGUAGAUAUUCGGAGGAACACCGGUGGCGAAGGCGGCCAACUGGGCUUUAACUGACGCUGAGGCUCGAAAGUGUGGGGAGCAAACAGGAUUAGAUACCCUGGUAGU